CCCCCCGCAGCUCAGUAGGAAGAACACUGCUUUCGGAGGCAGCGGUCGCGGGUUCGAGUCCCGCCGGGGGGC
rnacentral:tRNA from 1 species